GAUGAAGAACGCAGCGAAAUGCGAUACGUAGUGUGAAUUGCAGAAAUACGUGAACCAUCGAAUCUUUGAACGCAUAUUGCGCCCAAGGCUUCGGCCAAGGGCAUGUCUUCCUCAGCGUCGCUUUGACCCUCACUCACCCACCUCCCGGGGUGGAAUACCGAGUGGACCUGGCUCUCCCAGUGCGCUUAAGUGCAUGCUGGGUUGGCUGAAGAGCAGAGGUUGAUGCAGGGACCCGUUAUGGGCCUCGGCUGGGUAGGCAAUUCAUUGCUGAUGCUUUAGCCGCUGGCCUGGGACCGUGCUGUCGACCCAAACCAGGAAUCGGGGUUUAUCCCCCGACUCUCAAUAUUCGACCUGAGCUAAGGCAAGAACACCCGCUGAACUUAAGCAUAUCAAUAAGCGGAGGA
rnacentral:misc_RNA from 1 species